AGCAGCCGCGGUAAUUCCAGCUCCAAUAGCGUAUAUUAAAGUUGUUGCAGUUAAAAAGCUCGUAGUUGAAUUUUGGGUCUGGCCGGGCGGUCCGUCCUCUGGAUGAGUACUGUUCCGAUGUCGGGCCUAUCCUUCUGGUGAGUCGGCAUGCCCUUUAUUGGGUGCGUCGGGGAACCAGGACCAUUACCUUGAAAAAUUAGAGUGUUCAAAGCAGGCUUUUGCUCGAAUACAUUAGCAUGGAAUAAUGAAAUAGGACGCGUGGUGCUAUUUUGUUGGUUUCUAGAACCGCCGUAAUGAUUAAUAGGGAUAGUUGGGGGCAUUAGUAUUCAAUUGUCAGAGGUGAAAUUCUUGGGUUUAUUGAAGACUAACUUCUGCGAAAGCAUUUGCCAAGGAUGUUUUCAUUAAUCAAGAACGAAAGUUAGGGGAAUCGAAGACGAUCAGAUACCGUCGUAGUCUUAACCAUAAACUAUGCCGACUAGGAAUCGGGCGAUGUUAUUCUCACGACUCGCCCGGGCGCCCU
rnacentral:rRNA from 1 species